rnacentral:rRNA from 1 species
CCAGACUCCUACGGGAGGCAGCAGUGGGGGAUAUUGCACAAUGGGGGAAACCCUGAUGCAGCGACGCCGCGUGUGGGAAGACGGCCCUCUGGAUUGUAAACCACUGUCCCCAGGGACGAAGAUGACGGUACCUGGGGAGGAAGCUCCGGCUAACUACGUGCCAGCAGCCGCGGUAAUACGUAGGGAGCAAGCGUUGUCCGGAAUUACUGGGUGUAAAGGGAGCGUAGGCGGGGAUGCAAGUUGGAUGUUUAAACUAUCGGCUCAACCGGUAAUUGCAACCAAAACUGCAACUCUUGAGUGAAGUAGAGGCAGGCGGAAUUCCUAGUGCAGCGGUGAAAUGCGUAGAUAUUAGGAGGAACACCAGUGGCGAAGGCGGCCUGCUGGGCUUUAACUGACGCUGAGGCUCGAAAGCGUGGGGAGCAAACAGGAUUAGAUACCCUGGUAC